rnacentral:pre_miRNA from 1 species
AGUAAAAUUGCUGAGUCAUAUGGUAAUUCUACAUUUAACUCUUUGAGGAACUGCCAAACUGUUUUCCACGGUGGUUGUACCAUUUACAAUCCCACCAGCAAU